rnacentral:lncRNA from 12 species
CAUCACCACAGCGUCUCUCUCACAUGUCUGUUCAGAGGAUGCACCACUUGUGUGAUGCAACAGGAGAGCAGUUGUGCGUGACAUUUCUCAUAAUGCAAAUGAAGGGUAUUCACACUGCAGACAUGUGUAGCAUGGCCAUCACCUUUCUCUGUACACACUUAGUGAGAUGAUUCUACAGAGGUCAAGAGGAAGUUGCCCUUGAAGAUGCUUUCUCAUGUCACAUAGAUAGAGGUGUGUAACCCGUCAACUGUCUUCCACCUGAUGACUCCGUCAUGUUGAAUUGUGUGUCAAGUCUGCUUCUUACUGAUGGAUGGACUUCAGCUUCUGGCUUUUGGUCAUUCUUUGGCUUUAGAGAAGACACAGGUCAAAAUUCCAAAUAAUCUGUAGAAACGGAGAACUUUGUUUCUGCAAAUGGCAUCUCUGACUUGGGGUUUCGAGAGUCCCACUGAGGUGGUUUCUGCUGUGGGGAGGAGUGAGCUGAGCAGAAGAGAAGUUGUGUUUCCUCACCCUCCAGAGCAGUUGCCAGCUGUGAGUGUGCAAUGAGACAUAAAAAGACAAGGCCCCAGCCUUGAAGAGUUUACAACCCAAGCCAGAUGUAAAGGAGAUGGCAGCCAGCACUAACAACUCCAUUUGUGCAGCUACGACUGGUACAGAGAAGGCUGCAGGACAAUGCUGCUGGAAAGACUUAUGGGACAGGAAAGGAUGUCCAGUGCACAGAUAUCUGAGAUGCAGCUCAGAGGUUCAUGGAAUCAAGUAGGAGAAGGUGGGCUCUCUCAUUGCAGCAGUAGAUAUAAAAUACUCCUGAUUGGCUGUAUUUAUGGGGCCUGCUCAUCCUCCUGUUGGUUUCAAACACAAAGAAAAAUGGUCUCUUUCUACUGUGCCUGGUUUGAACAGCAGGUAAAGCUCCAGCCAUCUCCUCUCCAGCCUCCGACAGAAAAUUAUUACAGAUGAAAUGAUUCCAUCAUGGAAAUGGUAAGAGGA